AGAGUUUGAUCAUGGCUCAGGAUAAACGCUGGCGGCGCACAUAAGACAUGCAAGUCGAACGGAAGUCGUUAUGAUGAUUUCAACACUGACAGAGAACUUGUUCAAAGAAAGUAGAGAUUGACUUAUAACAAUGGCUUUAGUGGCGGACUGGUGAGUAACACGUGAGCAACCUGCCUAUCAGAGGGGAAUAACAGUGAGAAAUCAUUGCUAAUACCGCAUAUGCCAUAAAUAUCACAUGAUGAAAGUGGGAAAGGAGUAAUCCGCUGAUAGAUGGGCUCGCGUCUGAUUAGAUAGUUGGUGGGGUAACGGCCUACCAAGUCGACGAUCAGUAGCCGGACUGAGAGGUUGAACGGCCACAUUGGGACUGAGAUACGGCCCAGACUCCUACGGGGAGGCAGCAGUCGGGAAUAUUGCGCAAUGGAGGAAAACUCUGACGCAUGACGCCCCGUAUAGGAAGAGGGUUUUCGGAUUGUAAACUAUUGUCGUUAGGGAAGAUAC
rnacentral:rRNA from 1 species